UACGUAGGGCGCAAGCGUUGUCCGGAAUUAUUGGGCGUAAAGAGCUCGUAGGCGGUUUGUCGCGUCUGCUGUGAAAGACCGGGGCUCAACUCCGGUUCUGCAGUGGGUACGGGCAGACUAGAGUGAUGUAGGGGAGACUGGAAUUCCUGGUGUAGCGGUGAAAUGCGCAGGAUAAUCAGGAGGAACACCGAGUGGCGAAGGCAGGUCUCUGGGCAUUAACUGACGCUGAGGAGCGAAGCAUGGGAGCGAACAGGAUAGAUACC
rnacentral:rRNA from 1 species